GACAUUGUAGUCUUAAUAAUUGCUAACAUGAAUUUAAUAAUUGCUAACAUCAUUUGAUUCUUUAGAUGGCCGCCAAGAACGAGUCAUGUUUGACAAAAUUACAUCUCGAAUCCAGAAGCUUUGUUAUGGACUUAAUAUGGAUUUUGUUGAUCCUGCUCAGAUCACCAUGAAAGUAAUCCAAGGCUUGUACAGUGGGGUCACCACAGUGGAACUAGAUACUCUGGCUGCUGAAACAGCUGCAACCUUGACUACUAAGCACCCUGACUAUGCUAUCCUGGCAGCCAGGAUCGCUGUCUCUAACUUGCACAAAGAAACAAAGAAAGUGUUCAGUG
rnacentral:sRNA from 1 species